rnacentral:rRNA from 1 species
GACGAACGCUGGCGGCGUGCCUAACACAUGCAAGUCGAGCGAGGAGAUUCCUUCGGGAUGAUCCUAGCGGCGGACGGGUGAGUAACACGUGGGCAACCUGCCUCAUAGAGAGGAAUAGCCUCCCGAAAGGGAGAUUAAUACCUCAUAACAUUGCAGUUUCGCAUGGAACAGCAAUUAAAGGAGCAAUCCGCUAUGAGAUGGGCCCGCGGCGCAUUAGCUAGUUGGUGAGGUAACGGCUCACCAAGGCAACGAUCAGUAGCCGACCUGAGAGGGUGAUCGGCCACACUGGAACUGAGACACGGUCCAGACUCCUACGGGAGGCAGCAGUGGGGAAUAUUGCACAAUGGGCGAAAGACCUGAUGUAGCAACGCCGCGUGAGCGAUGAAGGCCU